rnacentral:rRNA from 1 species
UACGGAGGAUGCGAGCGUUAUCCGGAUUUAUUGGGUUUAAAGGGUGCGUAGGCGGGCUGUUAAGUCAGCGGUCAAAGCCCGGGGCUCAACCCCGGCGAGCCGUUGAAACUGGCUGUCUUGAGAUGUCGAGAGGUAUGCGGAAUGCGCAGUGUAGCGGUGAAAUGCAUAGAUAUCACACAGAACACCGAUUGCGAAGGCAUCUCACGAAUCCGCUAUUGACGCUGAUGCACGAAAGCGUGGGUAUCAAACAGG